UCUGCCCUUGUAACCUGACCGCCCGUCGCCUCUCACCUGACCACUGGCGUUGCCCUCCUCUUGGCCUCCCGCCUCCCCCUUUGCCCCUGCCGAUCCAUUUUCUACACGACAGCCAGAGGAUCUUUUAAAGAAGAUGCAGUACUUUGGCGUAUUUGACACGUGUCCCACCCUCCUCCCACCGUACGUUCCUCUCCUGCAGAGGCUGGACAGUUGAACACCCGAUUUCCCAGACCCCAUGCAUCUUGGCUUCCAGAGGAAGUCGAGGCUCAGCUUAAGUCAAAUUUGCAGGUGGACCAUGUGGGUCAGCGUGGAGCGAGCCAGGGAGAGACAGGCGUGGGUCUAGGAGGUGCAGUGUCGACCCUGCAGCUACGGUCGAAGCCGUGAACAUGGGAUUGCUGCCCCCCUGGAGUGUUUGAAGGCAGCAGCCGCAGCCCCACCUUCCUGGCCCCUCAGAUCCCUGACUGCAAUACAGGCAGGGGCUCCCCUGGCAGGUAAGCUCUGUGGUGAUGGUCUAGGAAUCCCUCCUCUGGGCCCAGUCUCCAGGCUGUUCCUCCAGCCCUUCCAAUAAUCUGUGAGCAACUAGUUCCCUGGGUUAGAUUCCUUUCUGCUUAAAACAGGGUGCUGGGGCACCUGGGUGGCUCAGUCGGUUGGGCGUCCAACUUCAGCUCAGGUCGUGAUCUCGCGGUCUGUGAGUUCGAGCGCCGCAUCAGGCUCUGUGCUGACAGCUUGGAGCCUGGAGCCUACUUCAGAUUCUGUGUCUCCCUCUCUCUCUGUCCCUCCCCUGCUUCUAUUCUGUCUCUCUCUCAGAAAUAAAUGAACCUUAAAAAAAAAAAAUUAAAACAAAACAAAAAAACAGCCAGAGUGCUUUCCCUUAUCUUCCAUGGACCUUGGACUACAAAAGGACCACUCUGAUCACAUCACUUCCCUGCUCGUUGACCAAAUAAUACACCCCAACAUCCAAUGCCGUUGAGGCGGCUGGCUUUGUGGCACGCUAGCCUGAGAACCCUGGAGAACAACCACCCGCAGAGCAGAGAGAGCGGGGGACAUCUGGGAAGUCUGUCGAGCCCUUACGGGAAC
rnacentral:lncRNA from 1 species